GGAUGAACGCUAGCGACAGGCUUAACACAUGCAAGUCGAGGGGCAGCACAGGUAGCAAUACCGGGUGGCGACCGGCGCACGGGUGAGUAACGCGUAUGCAACUUACCUAUCAGAGGGGGAUAACCCGGCGAAAGUCGGACUAAUACCGCAUGAAGCAGGGGCCCCGCAUGGGGAUAUUUGCUAAAGAUUCAUCGCUGAUAGAUAGGCAUGCGUUCCAUUAGGCAGUUGGCGGGGUAACGGCCCACCAAACCGACGAUGGAUAGGGGUUCUGAGAGGAAGGUCCCCCACAUUGGUACUGAGACACGGACCAAACUCCUACGGGAGGCAGCAGUGAGGAAUAUUGGUCAAUGGCCGAGAGGCUGAACCAGCCAAGUCGCGUGAGGGAUGAAGGUUCUAUGGAUCGUAAACCUCUUUUAUAAGGGAAUAAAGUGCGGGACGUGUCCCGUUUUGUAUGUACCUUAUGAAUAAGGAUCGGCUAACUCCGUGCCAGCAGCCGCGGUAAUACGGAGGAUCCGAGCGUUAUCCGGAUUUAUUGGGUUUAAAGGGAGCGUAGAUGGGUUGUUAAGUCAGUUGUGAAAGUUUGCGGCUCAACCGUAAAAUUGCAAUUGAUACUGGCAGUCUUGAGUACAGUUGAGGUAGGCGGAAUUCGUGGUGUAGCGGUGAAAUGCUUAGAUAUCACGAAGAACUCCGAUUGCGAAGGCAGCUCACUGGAGUGUAACUGACACUGAUGCUCGAAAGUGUGGGUAUCAAACAGGAUUAGAUACCCUGGUAGUCCACACGGUAAACGAUGAAUACUCGCUGUAGGCGAUAUACGGUCAGCGGCCAAGCGAAAGCAUUAAGUAUUCCACCUGGGGAGUACGCCGGCAACGGUGAAACUCAAAGGAAUUGACGGGGGC
rnacentral:rRNA from 1 species